GGAGGGCGUCCAGUUGGUGCUGGAAACCGGAUUUAUACCCGGUACUCUUGAAAGGGAGAGGGGUCCGAUCCCCCCGCCCUCCGCCA
rnacentral:tRNA from 1 species